GUUAAAAAGCUCGUAGUUGGAUUUCGGGAUGGGCCAGUCGGUCCGCCUAACGGUGUGUUUACUGGCUGGUCUGUUCUUCUUCGCAAAGACUGCGUGUGCACUUUACUGUGUGUGCGUAGGAUUUAUGACGUUUACUUUGAAAAAAUUAGAGUGUUCAAAGCAGGCAUACCGCUUGAAUACAUGAGCAUGGAAUAAUGGAAUAGGACUUUGGUCUUAUUUUGUUGGUUUCUGAGACCGAAGUAAUGAUUAAGAGGGACAGUUGGGGGCAUUCGUAUUUCGUUGUCAGAGGUGAAAUUCUUGGAUUUACGAAAGACGAACAAUUGCGAAAGCAUAUGCCAAGAAUGUUUUCAUUAAUCAAGAACGAAAGUUAGAGGAUCGAAAGACGAUCAGAUACCGUCCUAGUUCUAACCAUAAACGAUGUCGACUAGGGAUCAGCGAACCGUCUAAUGCGACUUCGUUGGCACCCUUACGGGAAAACCAAAGUUUUUGGAUUCCCGGGGGAAGUAUGGUUGCCAUAACCUGAAACUUAAGGAAU
rnacentral:rRNA from 1 species